AUUGAACGCUGGCGGCAGGCCUAACACAUGCAAGUCGAGCGGAUGAAGAGAGCUUGCUCUCUGAUUCAGCGGCGGACGGGUGAGUAAUGCCUAGGAAUCUGCCUGGUAGUGGGGACAACGUUUCGAAAGGAACGCUAAUACCGCAUACGUCCUACGGGAGAAAGUGGGGGAUCUUCGGACCUCACGCUAUCAGAUGAGCCUAGGUACGAUUAGCUAGUUGGUGAGGUAAAGGCUCACCAAGGCGACGAUCGUUAACUGGUCUGAGAGGAUGAUCAGUCACACUGGAACUGAGACACGGUCCAGACUCCGACGGGAGGCAGCAGUGGGGAAUAUUGGACAAUGGGCGAAAGCCUGAUCCAGCCAUGCCGCGUGUGUGAAGAAGGUCUUCGGAUUGUAAAGCACUUUAAGUUGGGAGGAAGGGCAGUAAGUUAAUACCUUGCUGUUUUGACGUUACCGACAGAAUAAGCACCGGCUAACUUCGUGCCAGCAGCCGCAGUAACAC
rnacentral:rRNA from 1 species